GGAAGUAAAAGUCGUAACAAGGUCUCCGUAGGUGAACCUGCGGAGG
rnacentral:rRNA from 1 species